CCAGACUCCUACGGGAGGCAGCAGUGAGGAAUAUUGGUCAAUGGCCGGAAGGCUGAACCAGCCAAGCCGCGUGAAGGACGAAGGUGCCAAGCAUUGUAAACUUCUUUUGUCAAGGGACAAAAUCAGGCUCGAGAGCCUGACCGAGGGUACUUGAAGAAAAAGCAUCGGCUAACUACGUGCCAGCAGCCGCGGUAAUACGUAGGGAGCAAGCGUUAUCCGGAUUUAUUGGGUGUAAAGGGAGCGCAGGCGGGAAGCCAAGUCAGCUGUGAAAACUACGGGCUUAACUUGUAGACUGCAGUUGAAACUGGUUUUCUUGAGUGAAGUAGAGGUUGGCGGAAUUCCGAGUGUAGCGGUGAAAUGCGUAGAUAUUCGGAGGAACACCGGUGGCGAAGGCGGCCAACUGGGCUUUAACUGACGCUGAGGCUCGAAAGUGUGGGGAGCAGACAGGAUUAGAUACCCCAGU
rnacentral:rRNA from 1 species